GCUCCGAUGGUGUAGUCCGGCCAAUCAUCUUGCCCUCUCGAGGCAAGGACCGGGGUUCAAAUCCCCGUCGGAGCA
rnacentral:tRNA from 3 species